rnacentral:rRNA from 1 species
UGGGGAAUAUUGCACAAUGGGCGCAAGCCUGAUGCAGCCAUGCCGCGUGUGUGAAGAAGGCCUUCGGGUUGUAAAGCACUUUCAGCGAGGAGGAAGGUGGUGAACUUAAUACGUUCAUCAAUUGACGUUACUCGCAGAAGAAGCACCGGCUAACUCCGUGCCAGCAGCCGCGGUAAUACGGAGGGUGCAAGCGUUAAUCGGAAUUACUGGGCGUAAAGCGCACGCAGGCGGUUUGUUAAGUCAGAUGUGAAAUCCCCGGGCUCAACCUGGGAACUGCAUUUGAAACUGGCAAGCUAGAGUCUCGUAGAGGAGGGUAGAAUUCCAGGUGUAGCGGUGAAAUGCGUAGAGAUCUGGAGGAAUACCGGUGGCGAAGGCGGCCCCCCUGGACGAAGACUGACGCUCAGGUGCGAAAAGGCGUGGGGGCAGCAAACAGGAUUANGAUACCCUGGUAGUCCACGCUGUAAAACGAUGUCGAUUUGGAGGUUGUGCCCCUUGAGGCGUGGCUUCCGGAGCUAA